GAAGCCCAUAAAUGACAAUGUUGAAAACGUGUUCAGAGCAAAGUGUGGUGGCUCACACCUGUGGGGUCACAUUUAUGCUCCUUCAUCUCAGGUCCUUCCACAUGUUUGCUAUAUAGCAAGAUAUCCUUUCACCUGUGUCUGCUUCAGGAAAACAUCCUUUCAUCUAUGUCUGCUUUAGCAAGACAUCCUUUCACCUGAGUGCCCCAGCAAAACAUCAUUUGACAUAACUAACUUUCCAAAGAAACUAUAAGUUUCUACUUCACACACCUGUAAUCCCUUGGGAAGCUGAGGCAGAAGAUCUGCCCAAGUUCAUGAUCAGCCUGGGAUAUAGGUAAAGUCUGUCUGGGCAAAUAAAAACUAGUUAAUACAAAAUAUGAAUAGAGAAUUAGUAGUCACCUCUAGCUGAAGCCUGUGAUAAAGAGGCUCUAUGUACAGCUGAGAAGCUGGGCAACAGUUUCAGGACAAACAACACUGAGAUUGGCAGCUAGGGAGAAGAAACAAACACAGAAGACUGUGAUCCAAUCAAAUUUGAGGCUGGUCUUCCUGGCAAUGUAGUUCAGUGGUACAGCUUCACUUGUAUCAGGCUCCAAAUCUGAUGCCAAGCACCAGACAAAACAACAAAACGAAGCAAAGAAAGAGAAGCAUUAAAGAAAACCAGAGAAGCUAAAUGAUUGAUUCAUUGGUUAAGAAGUUUCACUCUUCGGGAAAAAUUAACUUUUAUGCUUGUU
ensembl:lincRNA Gm17216 predicted gene 17216